CAGCCGACGCCGACCUUUUGUCUCGGUGUCCUUUGAGCAACCUUUUUUCUUUUCUGAUUUUCUGUAUUUUUUUAAAACAAAAAAAAGAAAAACGUGAAAAAACAAAAAGGGCGAGACGACGGCGCCUGCGGCCUCGAUAUCGGCAGUGCCGGCGGCAGGACCAACGAUAGUGCAGGGCAAAAGGUUUGCCUAGAGAGCAUCGAGGCGCGCUGUGACAGUGGUGGCAUCCGGAAUACGCGCGCGAGACGGACCCGCCAGUGGUCCGCACAACAACUCGGGCCGGCGCACUUCGGCCGGGCUCACAGUGCGCCCCCAGAGGCGGGCCACGUCCAAGAGACGUGGUGCAUCGGGCAAGAGGCCCGACGCCGAGGCCGGCGCCGCGCAUGUGGUCUGCCACGCAUAGACGCUCGCUCGAUCGAGCACAUCGUCGGGUAUCAUGCCCCGCGCGAGCGGACCACGGUAGGCCGCGGCGGCGGCGUCGGCCAACGAAAGCGGCUUUUGAGGAAAGAACGUCAUUGCAGCGCGCGCGUUGAGUUGGCCCGCAAAGAGUCGCAGCGCCAGCACCAGGCGGCACUCGUCGAUCCAUGUGCCGCUGAUCUCGCCGUCAAACCAGGCGUCGGCGGCGUCUGGCGCACCGAGGGCCACCCUAUCAUAGACCGCGUCGGGCACGGCAAACCGGGACGGCACCGGCAAAAGCGCGCGGCGCACCUGGGCGGCACCCGCCGGCAUGGGUUCGAGCAGGCUGGCGGCUUGUGUCAGACGCGACAGCGCCACCGUGUGGUUGCCCUCUCGCGCCCGCUGCGCCAAGUCUGACGCUUCGGCCGGGUCAUAGACGAGGGCGCGCAAAAACAGCGGGAGAAUUUCUUCAUAGGCUUGGAGGGCGGGGGCGUCAUCCAGACGCACCGCUUCGGCGGCGUUGGGAUCGAGCACCGACGCGUCCGAGGGCGUCGAGGCAACGGCCACCGUCGCCGCGCUGUCGUCUGCCUGGAUGCGAAAGAGCGCCACCUUGUCCACGGCGUCGUUCUGGACCGCCACAAUAUAGUAGGUGGCCUCGGGGUCGCACCCGCCGACAAAGGCCGGCCCGGUGGCGUCGAGCACGUCGUACCACGCCACGGGAAAGGGCUCGACCGAACCCUCAAAGUCGCCCGGCGCCAACCGUGCGAUCUUUUCCGCGCGCUGCGCCGCCCUGCCGACGGCCAGUGCCAGAUUGUAGGCGGCUGCGACGGGAUCGUCGACGGCCUCUAGGUCGAGUGCGCGCACGUGCUCAUAGGCGCUCUCGGGUUCGAGCGCCGCAUAGGCGCGCUGGACGUCAACAAAGGUGGGCGGCCAGGCUGCGGCGUGACGUCGCACGGCUGCGACGCCCGCUGGAUCUGCGUCGAGCGUGCGCCACAGCGCAAUGUAGGCACGCAAUGGCACGGUGCACUCGGUCUCGUCGGCGGUCGACAGGCGCGCUCUCGCCGUGCCGCCGCCCAUGGCGCCUCGGGUCAGGCGCAUGGCCUCGUAAAGGUCGGCCAAAUCGGCCGUGCCGUCGCCCAGACGACCGCACAGAUCGGCGACGACGGCGAGAUCUUUGCGCGCAUUCCACGCUGCGGGUGUCGUCUCUGGCUCGUCGGGCCUGGCCUGCUUGCGCGCGGGCGACGACACGCCGGCGGAAACCUGUGGCGCACCGUCGUCGCUUUCGGAAAGGCGCCGCUUCAUUUUUAUUUUUUUUUGAG
rnacentral:lncRNA from 1 species